rnacentral:rRNA from 1 species
AUCUUCAGCUAUACCACCUUGAACACACCCGAUCUUGUCUGAACUCAGAAGAAAUCUUGGGUGGGUGGAUAAUGUAGGAGUAUUUUUAUUUAUUUUUUUCCAGAGCACUGCUUAGGUCUGGCUGAUGGUG